rnacentral:rRNA from 1 species
CGUAGGGUGCGAGCGUUAAUCGGAAUUACUGGGCGUAAAGCGUGCGCAGGCGGUUUAGUAAGACAGGCGUGAAAUCCCCGGGCUCAACCUGGGAACUGCGCUUGUGACUGCUAAGCUAGAGUACGGCAGAGGGGGGUGGAAUUCCACGUGUAGCAGUGAAAUGCGUAGAGAUGUGGAGGAACACCAAUGGCGAAGGCAGCCCCCUGGGUCGAUACUGACGCUCAUGCGCGAAAGCGUGGGUAGCAAACAGGAUUAGAUACCCUGGUAGUCCACGCCCUAAACGAUGUCAACUAGGUGUUGGGAGGGUAAAACCUUUUAGUACCGGAGCUAACGCGUGAAGUUGACCGCCUGGGGAGUACGGCCGCAAGGUUA